rnacentral:rRNA from 1 species
UACUAUAGCUUGACACUGAACAUUGAGCCUUGAUGUGUAGGAUAGGUGGGAGGCUUUGAAGCGUGGACGCCAGUCUGCGUGGAGCCAACCUUGAAAUACCACCCUUUAAUGUUUGAUGUUCUAACGUUGGCCCCUGACCGGGGUUGCGGACAGUGUCUGGUGGGUAGUUUGACUGGGGCGGUCUCCUCCCAAAGCGUAACGGAGGAGCACGAAGGUUAGCUAAUCCUGGUCGGACAUCAGGAGGUUAGUGCAAUGGCAUAAGC